UCAUUACGUAUUGAAGAUGUUCAUGUAAUCUCUCUUUCAUGACUUGCACGUCUAAUUCAUGGCAUUUGUAUCAUCUGUUGGUGAACGCCACAACAGGCAUUAUUCAGGAUACCAAAAGCACGCGGGUGCUGUGAAGGACCCAGCGUAUAUAAGCCAUGGCCAGACGUUUGUCCACUCUCUCUUUCCCAGCUCUCUAAGCAGUUGGGCUUGAAUAUGGCAUCAGGAUUUUUCAUGAUACCUCGAAGAGAAGGUCAAAUAAUGAAGCUCCUCGUCGAGUUUCAAACGGCAAAGACCAAGUUCGUUGAUGGGUGAAUAAAGAUCACCCAGACUGAAUGGCUGCAGCUUUCUAAUCAGGCUCCUCAGAGCACUGGAACAGGAUUUCCAUCUUCUGGAUACUACAGUAGUCCUACUCUGUGACCAGCUGGACUAUGGAAUGGACUGCUCUCUGCCGCUUCCACACGGAGUUGGCGUGACGGUUCCACAGCUGUAAAACUUCCUGGAAGGGAUUCAGUUUCAUUAUGAGGACUUGUAGCCUGAGCUGGAUGACAUUGUGACACACUGAAUGGACCAGGUUGGUGUUUAAGGUAUGUAAUGGGGCUUUGCAGAGUUUCCUUAGCCUUGACUUUAAACUGAUACUGAAUUGCUGAGACUAAACCCUGGAAUUGAAUGUCCCUUCACAGAUGCUGCAACUCGAGAAUAAGGACUGCUACACGAUACAAAGAUUAUUAAUCCAGGAAAUUAAGCCAUCUAGAGACCUUCCAUUGUCCUAAACUUUUGUACAAAGCUUUUCUCAAAUUGCACUUUCAUGUAAGUGAGUUUAGAGAAAUUUCAAAUAAAUGGUUGACAACA